AGUGAACGCUGGCGGUAGGCCUAACACAUGCAAGUCGAACGGCAGCACAGUAAGAGCUUGCUCUUACGGGUGGCGAGUGGCGGACGGGUGAGGAAUACAUCGGAAUCUACUUUUUCGUGGGGGAUAACGUAGGGAAACUUACGCUAAUACCGCAUACGACCUACGGGUGAAAGCAGGGGAUCUUCGGACCUUGCGCGAUUGAAUGAGCCGAUGUCGGAUUAGCUAGUUGGCGGGGUAAAGGCCCACCCAGGCGACGAUCCGUAGCUGGUCUGAGAGGAUGAUCAGCCACACUGGAACUGAGACACGGUCCAGACUCCUACGGGAGGCAGCAGUGGGGAAUAUUGGACAAUGGGCGCAAGCCUGAUCCAGCCAUACCGCGUGGGUGAAGAAGGCCUUCGGGUUGUAAAGCCCUUUUGUUGGGAAAGAAAAGCAGCAGGUUAAUACCCCGCUGUUCUGACGGUACCCAAAGAAUAAGCACCGGCUAACUUCGUG
rnacentral:rRNA from 1 species